rnacentral:rRNA from 1 species
AACGCGAAGAACCUUACCUGGUCUUGACAUCCACGGAAGUUUUCAGAGAUGAGAAUGUGCCUUCGGGAACCGUGAGACAGGUGCUGCAUGGCUGUCGUCAGCUCGUGUUGUGAAAUGUUGGGUUAAGUCCCGCAACGAGCGCAACCCUUAUCCUUUGUUGCCAGCGGUCCGGCCGGGAACUCAAAGGAGACUGCCAGUGAUAAACUGGAGGAAGGUGGGGAUGACGUCAAGUCAUCAUGGCCCUUACGACCAGGGCUACACACGUGCUACAAUGGCGCAUACAAAGAGAAGCGACCUCGCGAGAGCAAGCGGACCUCAUAAAGUGCGUCGUAGUCCGGAUUGGAGUCUGCAACUCGACUCCAUGAAGUCGGAAUCGCUAGUAAUCGUGGAUCAGAAUGUCGCGGUGAAUACGUUCCCGGGUCUUGUACACACCG